AGCGUGGUGGACAAGAUUUUAGUCUUUCCUUUUUAGCAGUGACACGACGGAGAUGUCUUUUCUGUUUUUCUUCAUCCUCUUUCUCUAUUUCUUGAAUUAUAUCCGGUAAGCUGCAGAAACGAAAACAACUUUUCAGAAUUGAUAAGACAGGCAAAUCCUAUUUAACUAGAAAAUGAUUUGCCUGAUUUUCUAAGCAAUAGAAAACCUGUCAAUCUCUUUGGAGAGCUUUUCUGCUUUUGUUGCUUCAGCUUCUGCUUUCAGCUGUUCUUUGCGUCUAGCCCGUCGAUUUUUCUCAACUUGUGUUAACAUUUUGGGCUUUUGGGGCCUGCAUAUAUUUAAAUUAUGAUGUGUAAUUUCAUUAAGUGUUAAAUGAAGGUGAGAUAUAACCUAACAUGGAUUGCAAAGGAAGCUAAUGGCUUACCUAGUACACUGCAAAUUUUCAGAACACAUAGCUGUCUUACAAAAAAAAGAAAAAAUAAAAUCUUGAACACUGGUCACUUUACAACUGAACAUUAUUAGGAGAUUAGGAUGAUAGGAUCAUUACCACCAACGGAAGAAACAGAUAUGAAGUCGGAGGGCAUCAUUAGCUUCCAUAUUAUCUAUCAAGCUUACCAGAGACACAGCUCAC
rnacentral:lncRNA from 1 species